ensembl:snoRNA
UGCAGCUCCGUCAAAUUCGGCGCGUCCUCCUCCGUGGACGCCGCCGGCCCGAACGGCUGCCACAGUGACGGAGCAGCUCAUGGGCCCCGCGGCCAGACAACAUGGCCGCCGGGGAUGAGUCUGGACUGCACACACAC